CCUACGGGUAGCUGCAGUGAGGAAUAUUGCACAAUGGGGGAAACCCUGAUGCAGCGACGCCGCGUGAGUGAAGAAGUAUUUAGGUAUUUUAAGCUCUAUCAGCAGGGAAGAAAAUGACGGUACCUGAUUAAUAAGCCCCGGCUAACUACGUGCCAGCAGCCGCGGGAAUACGUAGGGGGCAAGCGUUAUCCGGAUUUACUGGGUGUAAAGGGAGUGUAGAAGGCAGCACAAGUCUGGAGUGAAAUGCCGGGGCUUAACCCUGGAACUGCUUUGGAAACUGUGAAGCUAGAGUGCAGUAGAGGUAAGUGGAAUUCCUAGUGUAGCGGUGAAAUGCGUAGAUAUUAGGAGGAACACCAGUGGCGAAGGCAGCUUACUGGACUGUAACUGACGUUGAGGCUCGAAAGCGUGGGGAGCAAACAGGAUUAGAUACCCGAGUAGUC
rnacentral:rRNA from 1 species